rnacentral:rRNA from 1 species
CUACGGGUCGCACCAGUGGGGAAUAUUGCACAAUGGGCGCAAGCCUGAUGCAGCCAUGCCGCGUGUAUGAAGAAGACCUUCGGGUUGUAAAGUACUUUCAGCGGGGAGGAAGGGAGUAAAGUUAAUACCUUUGCUCAUUGACGUUACCCGCAGAAGAAGCACCGGCUAACUCCGUGCCAGCAGCCGCGGUAAUACGGAGGGUGCAAGCGGUAAUCGGAAUUACUGGGCGUAAAGCGCACGCAGGCGGUUUGUUAAGUCAGAUGUGAAAUCCCCGGGCUCAACCUGGGAACUGCAUCUGAUACUGGCAAGCUUGAGUCUCGUAGAGGGGGGUAGAAUUCCAGGUGUAGCGGUGAGAUGCGUAGAGAUCUGGAGGAAUACCGGUGGCGAAGGCGGCCCCCUGGACGAAGACCGACGCUCAGGUGCGAAAGUGUGGGGAGCAAACAGGAUUAGAUACCCGCGUAGUC